rnacentral:rRNA from 1 species
GGUUAAGCGACUAAGCGUACACGGUGGAUGCCCUGGCAGUCAGAGGCGAUGAAGGGCGUGCUAAUCUGCGAUAAGCGCCGGUAAGGUGAUAUGAACCGUUAUAACCGGCGAUACCCGAAUGGGGAAACCCAGUGUGACUCGUCACACUAUCAUUAACUGAAUCCAUAGGUUAAUGAGGCGAACCGGGGGAACUGAAACAUCUAAGUACCCCGAGGAAAAGAAAUCAACCGAGAUUCCCCCAGUAGCGGCGAGCGAACGGGGAGGAGCCCAGAGCCUGAAUCAGCAUGUGUGUUAGUGGAAGCGUCUGGAAAGGCGCGCGAUACAGGGUGACAGCCCCGUACACAAAAGCGCAUGUGCUGUGAGCUCGAUGAGUAGGGCGGGACACGUGGUAUCCUGUCUGAAUAUGGGGGGACCAUCCUCCAAGGCUAAAUACUCCUGACUGACCGAUAGUGAACCAGUACCGUGAGGGAAAGGCGAAAAGAACCCCGGCGAGGGGAGUGAAAAAGAACCUGAAACCGUGUACGUACAAGCAGUGGGAGCACCCUUUGGGUGUGACUGCGUACCUUUUGUAUAAUGGGUCAGCGACUUAUAUUCUGUAGCAAGGUUAACCGAAUAGGGGAGCCGGAGGGAAACCGAGUCUUAACCGGGCGUUAAGUUGCAGGGUAUAGACCCGAAACCCGGUGAUCUAGCCAUGGGCAGGUUGAAGGUUGGGUAACACUAACUGGAGGACCGAACCGACUAAUGUUGAAAAAUUAGCGGAUGACCUGUGGCUGGGGGUGAAAGGCCAAUCAAACCGGGAGAUAGCUGGUUCUCCCCGAAAGCUAUUUAGGUAGCGCCUCGUGA